rnacentral:rRNA from 1 species
UACAGAGGGGGCAAGCGUUGUUCGGAAUUACUGGGCGUAAAGGGCGCGUAGGCGGCCUUCUAAGUCGAACGUGAAAUCCCCGGGCUCAACCCGGGAACUGCGUCCGAUACUGGAAGGCUUGAAUCCGGGAGAGGGAUGCGGAAUUCCAGGUGUAGCGGUGAAAUGCGUAGAUAUCUGGAGGAACACCGGUGGCGAAGGCGGCAUCCUGGACCGGCAUUGACGCUGAGGAGCGAAAGCCAGGGAGCAAAGCGG